rnacentral:rRNA from 1 species
GACCUCUGAUCGGAAAAGAUCACCCGCUGAGUUUAAGCAUAUCACUAAGCGGAGGAAAAGAAACUAACGAGGAUUUCCC